UUUCGCAAUGCCCGAAAGGGUGACGAAGCGACGCCGCGUGGGUGAGGAAGGCCUUCGGGUUGUAAAGCCCUGUCAGGAGUUAUGAAAUGUAAGUGCGCUAAUAUCGUGCUUAUUUGACAAAGGCUCCAAAGGAAGCCACGGCUAACUCUGUGCCAGCAGCCGCGGUAAUACAGAGGUGGCGAGCGUUGUUCGGAAUUAUUGGGCGUAAAGAGCACGUAGGUGGGUUUGCAAGUCAGAUGUGAAAGCCUUCUGUUCAACGGAAGAAUUGCAUCUGAAACUGCUAAUCUUAAGUAUAGGAGGGGAGAAUGGAACUUCUGGUGGAGCGGUGAAAUGCGUAGAUAUCAGAAGGAACGCCGGCGGCGAAAGCGAUUCUCUGGCCUAUUACUGACACUCAGUGUGCGAAAGCUAGGGGAGCAAACGGGAUUAGAUACCCCGGUAGUCCUAGCCGUAAACGAUGGGCACUAAGUAGAGGGGUUUUA
rnacentral:rRNA from 1 species